GGAACAGAGAACGCGGAAGGGGAAGAAAGGAGUGACAUAGGAACAGCGGUGGGGGGCAGCAGAGCGAGGGGGUGGAAGAGAGAGACAGAGAAAGAAGGUUCAGUGGCCAGAGCUCAACCAGCUGUCCAACAAACAAACUGAAAAUUCUGACGGUUCUCGUCCGACACGGGCGCUUGAUGGCGACUUCCUCGCCGGUGGAGAUGUUGGUACCUAAGAAAUGACAGAAAAAGGCCAAAAGGCCCGGUCACACACGCGGUUUUCCGAACAAAACAAACCGGAACCAGGAACAGUGUGCGGGGUGUCAAGAGAAGAAGGGGCGGGAAAAAUGUAAAUAAAAAAAAAAGAACUAGACAACGAGGGAAAAAAGUGGGAAAAGGUGUGCACACGUUUGAAACGGGGGAGUUGACGCAUUCAUGCGUGUCCAUUAGGCAAAUAUGUGACAAACUAGCGCAAGAAGCUGUCAAAUUCGUUUGACCGUGGUAUACGUGAAACGUCGAAUUUCCCGUCGAAGUAACGAGAACUACGUCACAGAGGUGCAACGAGGAUACAGACGAUAAAGGAUAAACAUAUUUAGGUCGCACAACUAUUUAUACACAUAAUUGUUAUUUAGGUAAGUGCGUGAACGAAUA